AGUGGGGAAUAUUGGACAAUGGGCGCAAGCCUGAUCCAGCCAUGCCGCGUGUGUGAAGAAGGCCUUCGGGUUGUAAAGCACUUUUGUUGGGGAAGAAACCGACCGGAUUAAUACUUCGGUUGAAUGACGGUACCCAAAGAAUAAGCACCGGCUAACUUCGUGCCAGCAGCCGCGGUAAUACGAAGGGUGCAAGCGUUACUCGGAAUUACUGGGCGUAAAGCGUGCGUAGGCGGUUCGUUAAGUCUGCUGUGAAAGCCCUGGGCUCAACCUGGGAACUGCAGUGGAUACUGGCGAGCUAGAGUGUGUCAGAGGAUGGUGGAAUUCCCGGUGUAGCGGUGAAAUGCGUAGAGAUCGGGAGGAACACCAGUGGCGAAGGCGGCCAUCUGGGACAACACUGACGCUGAGGCACGAAAGCGUGGGGAGCAAACAGGAUUAGAUACCCUGGUAGUCCACGCCCUAAACGAUGCGAACUGGACGUUGGGCACACUUAGGUGCUCAGUGUCGAAGCUAACGCGUUAAGUUCGCCGCCUGGGGAGUACGGUCGCAAGAC
rnacentral:rRNA from 1 species